CCUACGGGUGGCAGCAGUGGGGAAUAUUGGGCAAUGGGCGCAAGCCUGACCCAGCAACGCCGCGUGAAGGAAGCAGGCUUUCGGGUUGUAAACUUCUUUUCUGAGGGACGAAGAAAGUGACGGUACCUCAGGAAUAAACCACGGCUAACUACGUGCCAGCAGCCGCGGUAAUCCGUAGGUGGCAAGCGUUAUCGGGAUUUAUUGGGGGUAAAGGGCGUGUAGGCGGGAAAGCAAGUCAGAUGUGAAAACUCAGGGCUCAACCCUGGGCCUGCAUUUGAAACUGUGUUACUUGAGUGCUGGAGAGGCAAUCGGAAUUCCGGGUGUAGCGGUGAAAUGCGUAGAUAUACGGAGGAACACCAGUGGCGAAGGCGGAUUGCUGGACAGUAACUGACGCUGAGGCGCGAAAGCGUGGGGAGCAAACAGGAUUAGAUACCCGAGUAGUC
rnacentral:rRNA from 1 species